AGGUUGGUACUUGUACCGACUGGAUGAGCAGCGAACGGGUGAGUAACGCGUGGGGAAUCUGCCUUUGAGCGGGGGACAACAUUUGGAAACGAAUGCUAAUACCGCAUAAAAACUUUAAACACAAGUUUUAAGUUUGAAAGAUGCAAUUGCAUCACUCAAAGAUGAUCCCGCGUUGUAUUAGCUAGUUGGUGAGGUAAAGGCUCACCAAGGCGAUGAUACAUAGCCGACCUGAGAGGGUGAUCGGCCACAUUGGGACUGAGACACGGCCCAAACUCCUACGGGAGGCAGCAGUAGGGAAUCUUCGGCAAUGGACGAAAGUCUGACCGAGCAACGCCGCGUGAGUGAAGAAGGUUUUCGGAUCGUAAAACUCUGUUGGUAGAGAAGAACGUUGGUGAGAGUGGAAAGCUCAUCAAGUGACGGUAACUACCCAGAAAGGGACGGCUAACUACGUGCCAGCAGCCGCGGUAAUACGUAGGUCCCGAGCGUUGUCCGGAUUUAUUGGGCGUAAAGCGAGCGCAGGUGGUUUAUUAAGUCUGGUGUAAAAGGCAGUGGCUCAACCAUUGUAUGCAUUGGAAACUGGUAGACUUGAGUGCAGGAGAGGAGAGUGGAAUUCCAUGUGUAGCGGUGAAAUGCGUAGAUAUAUGGAGGAACACCGGUGGCGAAAGCGGCUCUCUGGCCUGUAACUGACACUGA
rnacentral:rRNA from 1 species